AUGAGCUACCAGAGGCACCCCUCAUGUCUAUGGAGCUGUGACCCAAGAUGUCAUCCACAUAGAAUGCAGUAUGGGAGGUUGAUUUGGCUGAUCUGACCAGCUAAGGAAGGUGUCCCCUUCCUCAACGAUCCAUGUGCGUCUUUCCCGAAGCUGUGCACUCAGUAAAAGAGGACGACCUUCCCCAAGAGAGGAGGACCAUUCUUCGGUCAAAGUAUACAAGUUGCUGCGCUCCCCUGCUAGAACCUCCAAACAAGCUCUCAACAACCCUUGUUUACCCUCCUUCCAUCACCUUCCCAUAACGUGCCCCACCCACUCUGAACUCCACACCCUUUUUCUUUUAGCCUAGGAUGGCACAUAAGCCCUAAACAUCCAUUUGAGUUACUCAUCUCUAGGCACUUACAUAUGUUACAUGAACGAUGGACUGAAGUUCAUUAACUCAUCUAUUUUUUCUCUUGUGAA